rnacentral:rRNA from 1 species
AAUACGGAGGGNGCAAGCGUUAAUCGGAAUUACUGGGCGUAAAGCGCACGCAGGCGGUCUGUCAAGUCGGAUGUGAAAUCCCCGGGCUCAACCUGGGAACUGCAUUCGAAACUGGCAGGCUAGAGUCUUGUAGAGGGGGGUAGAAUUCCAGGUGUAGCGGUGAAAUGCGUAGAGAUCUGGAGGAAUACCGGUGGCGAAGGCGGCCCCCUGGACAAAGACUGACGCUCAGGUGCGAAAGCGUGGGGAGCAAACAGGAUUAGAUACCCUGGUAGUCCACGCUGUAAACGAUGUCGAUUUGGAGGUUGUGGCCUUGAGCCGUGGCUUCCGGAGCUAACGCGUUAAAUCGACCGCCUGGGGAGUACGGCCGCAAGGUUAAAACUCAAAUGAAUUGACGGGGGCCCGCACAAGCGGUGGAGCAUGUGGUUUAAUUCGAUGCAACGCGAAGAACCUUACCUACUCUUGACAUCCAGAGAACUUUCCAGAGAUGGAUUGGUGCCUUCGGGAACUCUGAGACAGGUGCUGCAUGGCUGUCGUCAGCUCGUGUUGUGAAAUGUUGGGUUAAGUCCCGCAACGAGCGCAACCCUUAUCCUUUGUUGCCAGCGGUCCGGCCGGGAACUCAAAGGAGACUGCCAGUGAUAAACUGGAGGAAGGUGGGGAUGACGUCAAGUCAUUAUGGCCCUUACGAGUAGGGCUACACACGUGCUACAAUGGCGCAUACAAAGAGAAGCGACCUCGCGAGAGCAAGCGGACCUCAUAAAGUGCGUCGUAGUCCGGAUUGGAGUCUGCAACUCGACUCCAUGAAGUCGGAAUCGCUNNNNNNNNNAGAUCAGAAUGCUACGGUGAAUCCUUUCCCGGNGCUUNACACACCGCCCAU